UCUACUUUAAAAAGGUGGUUUAGUCUACUUUGAAAAGGAUAGUACACUUGUAAGUGUGCGACAAAAUCUCAGAGACUUGACAUUCGAAGUUUUCAAGCGAAAAUCAAAAUGUUCCAUGAAAUGGGGCGCAGAAGACUAUGAGGAAAGAAUUAUUAUUACCAGAGAUGGUUCAACUGAUGGAACAUUAUCCAACCACAAUAAAAAGAUUUGGAUUGCGCAAGUUUUGCAGUGCUGCCUUUUACCUGAUGGUGAAACUUAGUUCCGGCCAUAAAUCCGAGGGAGACACAAGAACGGUCAAGAUGUCAGGUUCUGGCGGGGAACAAGCAUGACAUAAAGCCUGUGCUGAAUGCCGUCAUCAUUUCUGCCUGCAAAGGUUAUGUCUGGAUGUGGUGCAAAGACCACAGCAAAACAGUGCCAGAUGACACCUCCUUCAACAAGGCAGUGACACUCCAAAUAGACUACUCCAGGAAAUAAAUGAAAUCAUCUUGUUUAAAUUGAGACUAAAAAAAUAGGGGGUGUUAG